UGCGGCUAUCAUAAUUCUUGCUUUCGGCCGGGCAGUUGAUUGCCGUUUAACCGGGGAUUGCUGCAAUUUCCGGUGUUGUGUAUGAAAGUUUAAUGGUAAGUAGUAGUUAUAUAUGUGGUUUUUAACUUUCACUUAAACACCAGCAUGGGGUGUGUGUGUGUUUUUUAUGCAUGAAUAAAAAUUUGAAUUGUUUUUUUUCUUCUGAUGUUUUAAGUUUUCUUUGUAAAAUAAAAUAAACUAGAGAGACUUUGGUGCAAAUUUUACUUUAACACAAGAAGAUAUAUGUAAGCAAUUUUUUAUUUUAUUUUAAUUCAUGCUAUAAAUCGCACAAAUUCAUGUGCCGUGGAAAAUAGGAUAAAAGAGUUUUUCGUACAAUAAAAUGAACUAGGGUUAUGUAAAUGAGUUCAUAUGUAAAUGAGUUGAACCAGCUCGACAAAAACACGAAUUCCAACUUGAGUUUCUUCUUAGUUGCUCUUGAGCUCACGAACCGGUUUGCGAGCCUUUCUUUUAUCUUUUAUUUUAAUUUUUUAUAUGUUAUUUUGAAUUUAAAUGAUAUGAAAUAUUAUAAUAAUAAUAUACAAAAUACAUUUAAAAAAUUUAAAAAUUAAUUACAGUUCAUUACUUAUUUUUUUAAUUUUUUAUUAUAAUAAAAUAACUUUAGUAAUAUUAUAAAUAAAUCCAAAAAAAAUUCAAAAUUAGCUCGAGCUCGAGUCUAAAAAACAAAUACACCUGGCUCGAGCUUGCCAAAACAGGCGGACUCAAGUCGUUUACACUAAACUCAUCCCUAAUUAUGAAGGUUGAAACCAUCUAUAAGGAAUUUUAAUUAAUAAUGAUUGAGCUCAAAUUAAAGUAUUCUAGUUAACUUAAAAGUUAAUCUAAUGAGUUGGACUGUUCAAAAAUGAAAUGACUUAAAAGGGCUCCAUAAUGCUAGGCCCGUCAUAAAAUCCCCACUCUUAAAUGGGUAUUAAUUCAGAUUAAUUAUUGGAGAGUUUCAUAUCACCACCAAUAUAUUAUCACCUAAUAUAUAUUUUUAAUAAAUAUAUCUUUCUUUUUCUAGCCACACCUUCUUUUUGGUUAAAUUACACUUUUAGUCCAGUUAAUUUAUUAGUUGAAAGAUUUAGUCCACCACAUUUUAAAAUUAGAAUUUUAGUCAUAUAAGUUACAAAAUUUGAGAUUUUUUGUCCAAUGACCUACUAUAACAGGUGAUUAUAACAUGUGAUUCAAUGAUCGGUUGAACGAGUUGACAUUUAAUAUUAUAAAGAUAAAUGGAUUAAAAAUAAAAUCGAUGAUGAUGUAGCUGAUGAGUUGGACGAUUUUGGAGAAAAAAAUUCAAUCAAAGAUGCCAAAAAUUCAAUCAAAGAUGCCUUUAUAAGAUUUCUUCUAUAUGAAAGAAAUUAAACAUUUUUUUUUUCUGUUUCUCUAUAAGAUUUUCUAGCCACACAUUUAUGACGUCAUAAUUAAUGAAAAUUAGAAUCGGAUUCAGCCAAAAGUGACACAAUUCAAUUGCAUUUAAGACCCCACAGCUGCUCAAUUAUUGCACUAACUCCAAAACUUUUGAAAUACUCUAUAAUUACACACCACUCCUCCAAAAUUGUGAAGGAAAAAAAAAGCCCCAAAUCACAAAAAUCACCCCACCAACAAUGGAGAAAAUCAAAAUCAACGCACCUCUUCAGGCAGCAGCAGCAGCACUAGUAGUUCUGAUCUUCCUCCUCUGCGCGGAGGAGGCCGAAUGCCGGAGCACCGACGGCGCUCCGGCGUUCAACGCGACGAGAGUGGGCGAUUGGUUGGACGACGGCGAGGAGUUCCUGAUGGAAUCGGAAACGAGCAGAAGGAUUCUCCAGGCCGGAAAGAAGACGAUCACUUACCCGUCGGCGAACCCGAAAUUACCCUUCUGCGAUAGUGCAGUGUACGGCAGUUGUAUUGGUAAAGACAACAAAAUUUACAAGCGGCCUUGCGACUAUCAGAAUACCUGCGGCCGAAAGGGCCAAUGAAUUUGGGGCUUUUGCUGCAAUUUCCGCUGCUGUUUAUCAAAGUUUGUGCCUUUGAAAAGUAUAGUUAUGGUUUUUACUGUUAAUUUUAACACACACACCAAAGUGGGUGUGUGUGUGUGUUUUCUUAUGUGUGAAUAAAAACUUGAAUGUUUAUUUUGUUUUUCCAAUAAUUAAUUAAUUUACCAAGCGUGAAUUAACUUACUACGCUUGAUUAAGACACAUUAAUUAACAAAGUUAACGAGUACUCUUGAUUUUAGGUAAAAUAAUUCAUAAUUGACAAAAUUAAUCCGUUUGAGACUUUAAAUCUCUUUUUAUCACCUAAUUAAUCUCUUAUUUCAAUUGUAGGGUAAAAUUGAAAAAAAAUACCUUAACUUGGAAAUUUUAAAGUAACACUUUAAUAUGAAAAAUAAGAUUAUAGCUAAAACGGCACUUGAAAAGAAGAUGAGGGAGUAGUUAAUGCAUGUGAACUCCUUUUAACAACUACGGAUUAUUAUAUUAACUAAUUAUAGACUAAGAAAUAUAUUAAGGAUAAAGAAGUUGAUUAGUGAUCAAAUAUGGUUGGACCAAAAUAGAGUAGAAUUUUCCACAAAUUAUUUGUCAGUCCUUGUAUUCAAAGAUGUUGACUUGUGGUCCCUAGAAUAGAAAUUAUUGACAAGAGUUUCCACAUGUAAAUCCACUGCAAAGACUUCCAAGUCUACCUCCCCACUAUUAGAUUUUUCAUAUAUUCAGUUUCAUUACCCAAAAAAAUAAAAAAAUAAAAUAAAAGGGCAAAAAAAGAAAAAAGAAAAUUCUCUUGUGGCAAAAAAGAAAACAUUUUUUUUUCUCUCACUAACAAUGAUGUUCUCCUACGCUCUUCUUCAUCUCUUCCUCCUCCUCACCGCCGCCGCCGCCGCCGUGCCUGCGUUCAUCGCCACCGAUUUCAUACUCCUCAACUGCGGAGCCUCGUCAAGCUUGAACGACAGCAGCAGCCGGAUCUGGUCCGGCGACGCCGGCUCGAGAUACGCGCCGCCGAACGCCGACACCGUAUCCUCAGCAUCUAAAGCUUCGAGGAUGCUGCCCUCCGUUGCUCCAGUGCCGUACGAGACGGCGCGUGUCCUUCAAUCUCCCUUCACCUACAGCUUCCCCGUCCUGGAAGGCCGCAAAUUCGUCCGCCUCUACUUCUACCCCGACACCUACUCCGGCGCCGACACGAGUAAUUUCUUCUUCUCCGUCACCGCCAAUUCGUUCACUCUGUGAGCAAUNNNNNNNNNNNNNNNNNNNNNNNNNNNNNNNNNNNNNNNNNNNNNNNNNNNNNNNNNNNNNNNNNNNNNNNNNNNNNNNNNNNNNNNNNNNNNNNNNNNNNNNNNNNNNNNNNNNNNNNNNNNNNNNNNNNNNNNNNNNNNNNNNNNNNNNNNNNNNNNNNNNNNNNNNNNNNNNNNNNNNNNNNNNNNNNNNNNNNNNNNNNNNNNNNNNNNNNNNNNNNNNNNNNNNNNNNNNNNNNNNNNNNNNNNNNNNNNNNNNNNNNNNNNNNNNNNNNNNNNNNNNNNNNNNCACCGCUUUGGAGAAUCUCUACAGGUUCAACGUCGGCGGCAACUAUGUCGACAUCAAAGACGACAGUGGGCCCGCACGCGGCAUGUUUCGGGCCUGGGACAAAGACGAUGACUACAUCUUCGGCGGCGAUUUCGGUUACACCCCUCACGUUGAACGUGUGCCGAUCAAUUACACCGCCGAAACGCCGCCGUACAGUGCCCCGGAGAUAGUGUACCAGACUUCCAGAGUGAUGGCGAAUACCAGCAUAAGCCUGGAGUGGGCGUUCCCCGUCGAUUCCGGGUUUUACUAUCUGCUCAGAUUCCAUUUCUGCGAGAUCCAGCUGGAAGUGACAGGGCAGAAUCAAAGGCCUUUCACAAUCUCCAUCAACAAUCAGACGGCGGAGAUUGAGGUCGACGUCAUUCAAUUGACCGGCGGCACUCAUAUUCCCGUCUACAGAGACCUCAUAACCUUUGUCCCCGACGACGGCCGACGUGGCAGGAAAGACCUCCGCCUGUCCUUGUUCCCCUUCACAGAAGGGAACCCCAAAUACGCGAACGCUCUCCUAAACGGAUUGGAAAUUUACAAACUCAACGACUCUACCCGGAGUCUCGCGGCCGCAAACCCCCCACCGGCCGCCGCCUCUCUGCCGCCGCCGCCGCCAAACCCAACUCCGAAGAAUAAAAGUGGAGGUUCUUCUGUAAUAUUACCCGUCGUGUGUAGCGUAAUCGGCGCUCUCGCGGUGGCCGCCGCCGUCGGUUUCUUGAUUUUCCGGCGGAGCCGGAAAAUCAAGGACUCGGCUUAUUCCAAGAGCGGCCCCACGAAGUCGUCGUGGGUGCCGCUCUCCACCGCGUCUGGUUCAACCACCGGGACCGGUGGGUCCGGCAUAUCUCUACCGUCGGAUCUAUGCCGUCACUUCUCGUUGGAGGAGAUCAAAGCCGCCACGGGAAACUUCGACGAAAAUUUCGUCAUAGGCAAAGGAGGGUUCGGCAACGUGUACAAAGGGUUCAUAGACAACGCUGCCACCACCGUGGCCAUCAAGAGGCUGAACGCGUCGUCGAACCAAGGUGUCCACGAGUUCCUAACCGAAAUCGAGAUGCUUUCGAAGCUACGGCACGUCCACUUGGUCUCGUUGAUCGGCUACUGCGACGAAAGAGGUGAGAUGGUAUUGGUGUACGAUUACAUGGCGCGUGGUACCCUACGCGACCAUCUAUACAACUCCGAGAACUCACCGUUGAAGUGGAAGCAGCGCCUCCAGAUCUGCAUAGGCGCUGCCAGAGGGUUGAACUACCUCCACACCGGAGUUAAAAACUCGAUCAUCCACCGCGACGUGAAGUCCACGAACAUCCUGGUGGACGAGAAGUGGGUGGCGAAGGUGUCCGAUUUCGGGCUGUCGAAGGUGGGGCCCGCGGCGGGCGGGGCCCACACCCACGUCAGCACCGUUGUGAAGGGGAGCUUUGGGUAUGUUGACCCGGAGUACUACCGGCGGCAGCAGUUGACCGACAAGUCCGACGUGUACUCGUUCGGGGUGGUGCUUUUCGAGGUUCUCUGCGCCCGGCCGGCGAUAAUUCCGAGCUUGCCGAGGGAGCAGGUGAAUUUGGGCGAGUGGGCGAAGUUCUGUUACAAGAAGGGGACGCUCGAGCAAAUCGUUGAUUCCAAUCUUGACGGCCAGAUUGCGCCGGAGUGUUUGGGUAAAUUUGUAGAGACGGCGAUCACUUGCUUGAAGGAGAAGGGGAUCGACCGUCCGGCCAUGGGCGACGUCGUUUGGAGCCUCGAGUUCGCCAUGCAGCUGCAAGAAGCGGCGGAGCGUAGAGGCGGCGAUGGGCCGGCGGCGGAUGGCGGCGACGGCGACAUCUUCUCGAUAAACCCAUCUUUCCCGCUGCUCGUCGGCGCCGGUCAAAACACGACGGAGGAGGAAAUGUUUUCUGGGUCCAGUGAGGGUUUGUCGGCGUCGAAGAGCAGCGGCUUGUCCACUGACAGCAGCGGCAAAUUCAAGCCGGAUGAUGUUUUUUCUGAAAUCAAGAAUCCGAUUCCGCGUUAAUUAAUUAAUUAAUUAAUUAAUUUCCCACUUUUACUAUAAAUAUUAUUUUGAGAUAUAUACAUAUAUAUUAUUUUCCUCUUAUUGGCUAAUUAAUUGGUCAUCUGGCUUUGGUGGAACUAUAGUUAAUGGAACGACAGCGUUUUGUCACUUCAAGGAAAGAGAUGAGCUGGUAUUUAAUAUAAAUGAAGGAGAUGUUAUAGCCUGGGGGAGGAAAGAAACAAAGGGGAUCGAGAAUUGGAAUGAAUGAGAAGAAGAAGGAUGAGAUUGAGAUAAAUUGGGGGCUGAAGAAGAAGAGAAACCCUAGAAUUGUUAAAGGAGGAGUCUUGGCACAAUCGGGAAUUGAGGAAGAGAUUGAAGGACAAAACGAUGCCGUUUUGGUUGGACCGGAUUUCGGGGCUAAGGGCCGAGUUUAGCAGUCCACUUAUGUUAUUUGUUUUAAUUUUGGUUGGGCCAUUUGUUGUUUUAAGCCCAGUAGUUAUUUUGUCUAUUUUGUUUUAAGCUUUGCUGAUGUUAUUGUUAGUGGGCUAGGGUAGAAAAUAUUCCCUACGUUGGAAGGGGUAUUUAUACCACAUUGGGUGUGAGGAAUGUUCUUAUGAAAAGUUUCACUAAUCCUUUCCUUUCUUACUUUCUUCCUUCUCAAGUCUUUCUAUUCUCAUCUCAAUCUCUUCAAUUAAUACAGUAAACAUAAAUAUUAUAAUAAAUUACAAUAAAUAAAUAUUAUUAUAUCCUUGGAUCUUGACAAUUGGUAUCAGAGCAAGGUCUGAUCUAAUGGCGGAUGGCACCAGAUUGGAAGCACACCGGAAAUUGUUGGAGCAGAAGCUACAGGAGGAAAUGGACAAGAGAGUGGCUGUGGAAACAAACCUGCAGGAGCAGAUCAGUUUAAAUCAUGAGGAAACAAAGAAAUCAUUUGAAAUUAUGCAAAUUCAGCUGGGCAAAAUAGCUGAGAGAAUAGAGAUGUACAACAGAGACAAAUCCAUUAUGGGGGAAGGAUCUGCUUCAGGCACAAAUCCAACACCAUUUACUGCCCAACCAGAGCAUUUCACCAGACCCCCAGAAUACAGAAACAACAAAGGGCAAGAUGUGAUGGUAAACUCAAACCCUUUUUCUGGUAAUUACAACCCUAACCCUAAAAUUGAAUUCCCCAGAUUUGAUGGUAGCAGUCCUAGAACAUGGUUGUUUAAGUGUCAAGGGUAUUUUCAGUUGGUGUCAAACAUACCUGACACUCAAAAAGUAGUGUUAGCUGCUUUGCAUUUUGAGGGUAGAGCAGCCAUUUGGUAUGGGCAAAUCUCACAGAAUAAUAGGGUUUAUUCUUGGGAUCAGUUUGUUGGCUUAGUUUCUGCUAGAUUUGAGGAUCUGAGGGAAGCUAAAGUGUUGGCUGAGAUUGGCAAGUUGAGAGUUACAAACUCUUUUGAGGCUUACAUUGAUAAAUUUGAAGAGCUUAGGGCUUAUUUGUUGAUGUUCAAUACUAGAGAAUAUGAUGAUGAGUUUUUUCUGACCUUCUUUGUUAGUGGUCUGCCUGAGGAGAAUCAGAAAUUCUUUGAUUUGUUUGAACCCAAAUCAUUUCAACAUGCUAUUGAAAUGACAAGGAAACAGGAGGCUACCCUAGAAGCUGUUUCUAGGAGGGCUAAAGGUGGAAUGAAACAAAUGAUGCCAUACCAAAACCAGCAAAGAAGACUACCCUCAAACUCUGAGUCACAUCAGAACCAACCAACCAAGACACCCUAUACUCCACCAGCUCUUAUGCCACCCAGAAAACUACUUACUAGGGAAGAAAUGAAGGCUAGAAGACUGAAGGGUUUGUGCUUUAACUGUGAUGAGCAGUAUAGCCAGAAUCAUAAGUGCAAGUUUAGUCAAUUGUAUAUGAUUAUGACUGAUGAAGAUGAGGAGACUCAUUUACUCAGCCUAGCUGGGGAAGACAGUUCAGAAAGGGGGGAGGCUCACUGUGAUGGGGAGGUUUCUUUGAAUGCUAUUGAGUGGAACAGUGGUGUGAAGACCAUCAAAGUGGUUGGUGAAGUGGAAGGAGGGCCUUUGAACAUUCUCAUUGACACAAGAAGUACUCAUAGCUUCAUCAGUGAAGUCUUGGCUAUUCAACUCAGCUGCCACAUUGAUGAAACUAACCCUAUGACAGUCACCAUGGCAAAUGGGACCAAAACUACUAGCAGGAAGAUUGUCAAUGGCCUGAUUUGGAUGAUGCAAGGUGAACCAUUCACUUUCCCUCUGAGGCUGUUAACUCUCAAGGGGUUUCACAUUGUUCUGGGGUGUGAUUGGUUAUGGGAAAACAGUCCUGUGAAGUUUGAUUACAAAAGGAGAUUUGUCAAGCUCAAAAGGGGGUAUUUGCACUUGGCUCCCCUGUGAAAUGUCUAAUUGUCAAAAAACCCCCUCGGAUAAAAAAAUUAGCAAAUACCCCCCUAUGAAAGGAAGUCAAUGACAAUAAGGACCCUACGAGUGAAUCGUGGGAUACACUCGCGGUUCAUGCAGCUGGGCGUGCGUUUUAGGACAUUUUAGGACAGGAAAAGACAUAAAAGCCCUUCAAAAAAAUCAAUCAACAAAAGGACAUUUUAGGGCGUGCGUUCUAUCGUCUCUCACGAAUCGCCCGGAGUCUCCACCGCCACCACUGCCCUUCUCUCUCCACCGCAAACUCCUAUUUCGACUCACCCCAACCCUCUAGCAAUUAUAACUCCCCUCCCACUCGCCGCCGCCUGCACCACCUCUUCGAGCUCUCCGGUAAUUUUGGCUCCAAAAUUCAAUGGCACAAUCACAGCAGCUCGAUAAGAUCAAUCGGCGCCUAUCACAAACUUAUUCAGCACUCCAGCUUUUCCACCACAGCACCCGACGGAAAACGAGAAGAAUCGAAAAAGCCGAAUAUCAACAAUGGCGAUCGUUCGUGGAUUGAUGUUUAUUUGCCGGAAAAUGCGCGGCCGUACGCUCGGCUGGCGCGGCUGGACAAGCCGAUCGGCACUUGGCUUCUGGCUUGGCCAUGUAUGUGGUGAGUGUAUUUUGUUUACGCCACAUAAAAACCACAUCCUUCUUCUCCAAAUCGCCACCUAUUAAUCGGCGGCGGAGAGAUCUCCAGUGAGGUAGGCGGCGGAGAGAUCUCCAGUGAGGUAGGGUCGCCGAUGGAGUCUCCAGUGAUGUUGGGUCGCCGCUCGGAGUAUCCUGUGAUGAUUGGCCGGUGAUGGAAGGGGGAGUGCGCUGCCAUGGAGGUGACAUCCAUGGCAGACGCAACAAAGUUGAAGGGCUCUGGGGUAAGGUGUCGAGGAGAGGAAUUUGAACGAGGGGUGGGCGGCGGUGAUUCGAGACAGCGGCAGUGUAGAGGGAGAGAAAUUUGAAGGAGUGGGUGGGUGUCGGAGGGCCAGACGGCGGCGGUGCUGAACUUAUUAUAGGCCGACGGAAAUGGGGAAGAAGGAAAUGGGGAAGAAGGUGUAAACUUUGGAAAUUACAAUUUGGUCCUCUAAAUUUAGGUUAUUUAUAAUUAAAUCAGUUUGAUUUUUUUUUCUUUUUUGCUUUAUUUUUUAUUAAGGGCAAUUCUGUCAUUUCACGUAAGUCAACGAGUCAGUGCACACAAAGGGGCGGUGGGCUGACUAAAACACAACAUAGGGGGUUAUAUGCUAAUUUUUUUUUCCGAGGGGGUUUUUUGCUUCCGAGAAAUAACACAGGGGGGUCUAUGCAAUUAACUCAGCUCAAAAGGGGGGAUCAGAAAGUGGUAAUUACUGCCAAAAGAAGAUUUUGAGGAGGGUAAAUUGCUGACUGUUCAUCCUGAUAUGAGCAAAUGAGGAAUUAGCACCACUGAGGGGGUAGUCAAUUUUGCACAAUACAAACCAACAGUGGGACUGUUGUUGUGCCUGAGAAGAUUCAGAAGUUGCUGGAGCAUUAUGAAGAUUUGUUUGCUGAACCACAAGGGUUGCCACCAGUGAGGGGGGUUGAGCACCAAAUCAUUCUCAAACCUGAUGCCCUACCUAAACAAUUAUACCCCUACAGAUACUCACAUUCUGCCAAGGAUGAGAUUGAAAGGAUUGUUGAUGAACUGUUCAAAGGGGGAGUUAUUAGACAGAGCCAAAGCCCUUUUGCAUCUCCUGUCUUACUGGUAAAGAAGAAAGACAGUUCAUGGAGGAUGUGUGUGGAUUAUAGAUAUGUGAACACCAUGACAGUCAAACAUGAUUAUCCUAUACCUAUCAUUGAUGAGCUUUUAGAUGAAUUGUAUGGGGCAAAAUGGUUUUCAAAGAUAGACCUGAGGUCUGGCUACUUUCAAAUUAGAAUGAAGGAUGAAGAUGUGUACAAAACAGCCUUCAAAACCCACCAUGGUCAUUUUGAAUUUCUGGUAAUGCCAUUUGGGCUUUGCAAUGCUCCUGCCACAUUCCAAUCUCUCAUGAAUUAGGUGUUUGCAAGGUAUUUGAGGAAAUUUCUAUUAGUGUUUUUUGAUGAUAUACUGGUGUAUAGUUCUAGUUUGAAAGAACAUAUGGAACACUUAGACACCACACUGACAAUCCUGAGGGAUCAUCAGCUCUAUGCUAAACAGUCCAAGUGCCAAUUUGGGCAGACCAGCAUAGAAUAUUUGGGUCAUAUUAUCAGUGCACAAGGAGUGUCCACUGACCCUAAUAAGGUUCAGAGUAUGCUGAAUUGGCCUAUACCCACUACUGUCAAAGGACUCAGGGGUUUCUUAGGCCUGACAGGGUAUUACAGGAAGUUCAUUAAGGGGUAUGGGAGUGUGAGCAUACCUCUUACAGAUAUGUUGAAGAAAGGGAAGUUUAAAUGGACAUCUGAAUCUGAGCUAGCCUUUGCACAACUCAAAGAGGUUAUGGCCUCUUCUCCAGUACUUGCUCUACCAGACUUCACAAAGCCAUUUAUAGUAGAAACUGAUGCCAGUUCUACUGGCCUGGGAGCAGUAUUGAUGCAGGACAACAGACCCAUUGCAUUCUUGAGCAAGGCUUUAAGUGCUACACACCAAGCCCUGUCUAUUUAUGAGAGAGAAUUUAUGGCUGUCUUGCUGGCCAUUCAGAAGUGGAAACACUAUUUACAAGGCCAUCACUUCAUUCUCAGAACAGACCAGCAGAGCAUUAAGUACAUUGUAGAGCAGAAAUUCACUACUGCCCUACAACAGAGGUGGAUUGCCAAGUUGAUUGGACUGGAUUAUGAGAUUCAAUACAAGAAAGGGGUGGAGAACAAGGUAGCUGAUGCACUAUCUAGACAAGAACACACGGCAGCCAGUGUUGGUGCCAUGUCUACAGUGCAGCCAAAAUGGUUAUUGGAAGUUCUGGAGAGUUAUAAGGGGGACAAUGAAGUUAGUAAGAUUAUGGUAGCUAAAGCUAUUGAUGCAACAACCUAUGGUGACUAUGGGCUGGUACAAGGUGUAUUGAGGUUCAAAGGGAAGAUCUAUGUUGGCACACACACAGAUCUUAGAACUAAGUUAUUGGAGUUUUUCCAUAACUCAGCCAUUGGGGGGCAUUCUGGUAUGUUGGGAACUUAUCAGAGGUUGAAGGAAAAUUUUUACUGGCCUGGAAUGAAAGCAAAGGUUGUGGAAUGGGUACAAAGCUGUGAUGUUUGUCACAGAGCUAAACAUGAAAACACUCCCUACCCAGGUCUAUUGGAACCUUUAGAGGUCCCUACAGGUGCAUGGACUCAUAUCUCUAUGGACUUUAUUGAGGGUCUGCCCAAAUCUGAGGGUAAAAAUGUUAUCCUAGUGGUUAUUGACAGAUUUACCAAGUAUGCACAUUUUUUGCCAUUAUCUCAUCCUUUUUGUGCAGCUACUGUGGCUAAAUUGUUUCUAGAUAACAUUUUUAAGUUACAUGGACAGCCAGUGAGCUUGGUUUCAGACAGGGAUAAGGUUUUUACUAGCAGUUUUUGGGUGGAGUUAUUCAAACUGCUAGGUACUCAACUGACUAUGAGCUCAGCCUACCACCCUCAGAGUGAUGGACAGACAGAAAGGCUAAACCAAUGCUUGGAAAAUUAUCUCAGGUGCUGUACUAGCCAGCACCCUCACAGAUGGAUGAAGUGGAUCUCUUUGGCUGAGUACUGGUACAAUACAAACUACCAUACCAGUCUCAAGAUGUCACCUUUCCAAGCAUUGUAUGGGUAUUCACCUAAUCACCUAUCACUAAGCCCCUAUUUAGACAGUAUCAACCCUGAGGUAUCAGCUAUGGUGCAGCAAAGAAUUGAGGCAUGGGGGUUAAUUAAACAAAAUCUCAUUCAGGCUCAAGCCAGAAUGAAAUGGUAUGUAGAUAAACCCAGAAUUGAAAGAUCUUUUGAGGUAGGAGAGGAAGUUUAUCUUAAACUACAACCAUUCAGACAGAACUCUGUCAUUUCCCGAGCAAAUCAGAAAUUAGCCAACAAAUACUACGGCCCCUAUCCUAUUAUUGCUAAAAUUGGAAAGGUAGCAUACAAGCUGUUGUUACCUGAAGGGGCGAAGAUCCACAAUGUCUUCCAUGUAUCCCUGCUGAAGCGCACUGUGAAGCCUACGGCAUCUGUUACACAAGCUCCACCUGCAACCAUGGAUGACACCUUGGAGCCCACGAACGCCGACCCUACUACGGAUUCUUGGGGGCAAGAAUCGUUUCAAGGGGGGGGGGGGGGGGGGUAAUGUUAUAGCCUGGGGAGGAAAGAAACAAAGGGGAUCGAGAAUUGGAAUGAAUGAGAAGAAGAAGGAUGAGAUUGAGAUAAAUUGGGGGCUGAAGAAGAAGAGAAACCCUAGAAUUGUUAAAGGAGGAGUCUUGGCACAAUCGGGAAUUGAGGAAGAGAUUGAAGGACAAAACGAUGCCGUUUUGGUUGGACCGGAUUUCGGGGCUAAGGGCCGAGUUUAGCAGUCCACUUAUGUUAUUUGUUUUAAUUUUGGUUGGGCCAUUUGUUGUUUUAAGCCCAGUAGUUAUUUUGUCUAUUUUGUUUUAAGCCUUGCUGAUGUUAUUGUUAGUGGGCUAGGGUAGAAAAUAUUCCCUACGUUGGAAGGGGUAUUUAUACCACAUUGGGUGUGAGGAAUGUUCUUAUGAAAAGUUUCACUAAUCCUUUCCUUUCUUACUUUCUUCCUUCUCAAGUCUUUCUAUUCUCAUCUCAAUCUCUUCAAUUAAUACAGUAAACAUAAAUAUUAUAAUAAAUUACAAUAAAUAAAUAUUAUUAUAUCCUUGGAUCUUGACAGGAGAUUGGCCGAUUAUAAAAGUAGCAUCUUUUCAUACUUGAAAUUAAAGUAAUCCAUUUCUGUACACACACACACACACACAUAAUAAUUGAAACAAAUCUUACACUUUACACAUUUCUUUCCAAACAGUCUCAAAAUAUAAUAGGUUUGUUGGAGGCAGAGAGUUACAUAAAACUUCAUUUUUUUCUCUGUCAAAAAAUUACCAAAGAAUCAAAAUCAGCACACAUUACAUGAAAACUCAGAUGAAGUUUCUCAUUGCAGCUAUCUCCCUCUCUUUCCUCUUUUCAUCCAUAGGUAUAUAUUUAUAAAUUAUAAUCAAUUCUACAACUCUUCGAUUUUUUUAUUUUUUUUCUUAUCAAAUUCUUUUCGUUUUUUUCGCAGUGGCCUACGACUCGUUAGAUCCAAACGGUAACAUAACAAUCAAAUGGGACAUAAUGACCUGGACACCAGAUGGCUAUGUGGUACGGUCAGCACACAAAAUUAAACCUUACUUAUAUCAUUAUUAUUAUUAUUAUAAUUAUUGUUAAUUACCACUAAUUAAAUUAUAGUAAUUUGUUACAUGGUGUUUUUGAUUAAUGUGUAUAAAUAUAUGUAUACAGGCAAUUGUAACGGUGAACAACUUCCAAAUGUACCGGCAUAUAAUGAGCCCCGGGUGGACCGUCGGCUGGACGUGGGCUAAGAAAGAGGUCAUCUGGUCCAUGGUUGGUGCACAGACAACGGAGCAAGGCGACUGCUCCAAAUUCAAAGGGAAUAUUCCACAUUGCUGUAAUAAGAAGCCGACAGUAGUCGAUUUACUCCCCGGGGUUCCGUACAACCAGCAGUUCGCCAACUGCUGCAAAGGCGGAGUUCUGGCGGCCUGGGGCCAGGACCCCCAAGCCUCCGUUUCCGCCUUCCAGGUCAGCGUUGGCCAGGCGGGGACCACUAACAAAACCGUUAGACUCCCGAGUAAUUUCACCCUUUUGGGGCCCGGCCCGGGUUACACUUGCGGGCCCGCGAAGACUGUUCCGCCAACUAACUUUCUGUCUCCGGAUCUGAGAAGGAAAACUCAGGCACUAAGUAAGUUUUUUUUUUUGAGAUAUUAAAUGAUUCACCUCACGGACAGCUUAAUAAUAAUUGUUUUUUUUUUGAUAUAAAUUGAAUAGUGACGUGGAAUGUGACGUGUACGUACUCUCAAUUUCUAGCACGGAAGCACCCGAGCUGCUGCGUUUCGUUCUCGUCUUUCUACAACGAAACGAUCACGCCUUGCCCUUCGUGCGCUUGCGGCUGCGAAAACAAAAACAAAUGUGUCAAGUAAAUUACUUAUAUAUAUAUAUACCCCCCUCCAUGCAUAAAUUGUCAUUAUUUUUCUUUUUUUUCUUAAUCAUGGUUUCUUGAAAAAUUUAUAACAGGGGUGAUUCCAAGCUCUUGAGUGUGGUGGGGGUGAAUACCCCCCGAAAAGACAACGCGCCGCUGGUGCAGUGCACCCACCACAUGUGCCCCGUUCGGGUCCAUUGGCACGUAAAAACUAACUACAAGGAAUAUUGGCGGGUAAAAAUUGCCGUAACAAAUUUCAACUACAGAAUGAACUACACGCAAUGGACGCUCGUCGUUCAGCACCCGAAUCUUAAUAACGUCACGCACGUUUUCAGCUUCGACUACAAGCCCCUUCUUCCCUAUGGCUCCAUCAGUAAUUUCCUUUUUCGCAUUUUCAAACAAACAAAAAAAAACCAUAGUAUAUGUUUUAUUUAUUUAUGAUGGUUGAAAAUCGAAUUGCAGAUGAUACGGGGAUGUUUUAUGGGAUGAAAUUCUAUAAUGACAUGUUAAUGGAAGCCGGUGAAUUUGGGAAUGUACAAUCAGAAGUACUUAUGCAGAAGGAUACGAACACGUUUAGUCUUAAAGAAGGAUGGGCGUUUCCUCGUAAAGUUUAUUUCAACGGCGAAGAGUGUACGCUUCCCCCACCCGAUUCGUACCCAUUUCUGCCGAAUUCGACUCCUUCGAGUCGGACUUUUAACUCGAUUUUCAUAUUUUUUAUGGUAAUUUUUUCUAUGGUUGUAAUGUCUUGAUCAAUGAGUUGUCAAGUUUCAUCUAGUGUGGAAAUUUUUGAAAUGUGGAGUGAUAUUUAAGUGAAAAUGAGAUAUAUAAAUAUAUAUAUAUUAUUUCCUCUUAUUGGCUGAUUAAUUGGUCAUCUGGCUUUGGUGGAACUAUAGUUAAUGGAACGACAGCGUUUUGUCACUUCAAGGAAAGAGAUGGGCUGGUAUUUAAUAUAAAUGAAGGAGAUUGGCCGAUUAUAAAAGUAGCAGUUGGGCCAAGUGGAUUUAAUUGGCUUAAUGGGUUAUCAAUCAGCAAACAAUUAUUAAAUAAAAAUAUAUUUUAUUAUAUAUAUAUAUAUAUAUAUAUAUAUAUAUAUAUAUAUAUAUAUAUAUAUAUCCGAUAAUAAAAAAUGAAAUUGCAGAAAAAUGUUGGUUGAUUGAAUUUUAAUUGAAGGAAAUAAGGCAAAAAGUGUUUUCCGUCCAAAUCAAACCAUUGACCAUUAAAAUAAAUAAAUCACGGACAAUCAAUUAUUAGCCUAGAAUCAAUUUACCAUGGUUUUUGGUAUUAAUUAGUGAACAAUUCCAAAAACUAUGUACUAUGAUCGUGGAGAAUUCAUAUUCAAAUUAUAGAGUAGGUAAUGCUAUUAUGAGCUAUAAAUUGAGAGGCAUUUCUAAAUGAUUUUCGUCAAGUGUAGUUUGAACGAGGAUCAAUUGUAAUGUGAAUAAGGAGCGAGAAUAUUAUCAUGGAGGCCAAAACUCUGUUUAUGUGUGUUUUCUUCUUGAUUUCUAUUUUUGCUGCUCGUAAGUUGUUUUUUCCUAUCAAAUCUCGCUCUUGUACACGGUGAAUUACAUAAGAGUUUUAUACCUUAAACUUGCAUGCACUCACUCAUACAUAUGCUAAUGCACAUAUAUAUAUAUAUAUAUAUAUAUAUAUAUAUAUAUAUAUAUGUAUCUUUUCUUUUCUUUUUUGGAAAUGCACUUACAUUUUACACCUAGUGAAAUAUACUGUACCUUAAACUCGUACACAAUCGCACACACGUACUUAUUAGUAAGUAAUUAUCAAUACACAUAUAUCGUGAAAUCUUAUUUAAUGAAGGCCACUAAGCAAUCAUCUUACUUAACUUUUUUUUUGCCUUCUAAUUUUGGUAUAUUGCAGAGGAGAGCAUGGGUAAUCAAUGUUUUGAUCCACAAAAAAGACAAUGUAGAGUCGGCGGCGAUGAUUGCUUGAAACGGUGUUCCGCGUUAGGCUACAGACGUGGCCUUUGUUUUAGAACAUCAUCUACUUCAACGCUAUGUAUGUGUGAAUGCGAUUAGUCUAAAUUAUUAUUCUAAUUGAUCGAUCUCAGCAUAUCGUAAUUUAUCUACACGAUUGUGUUGAGUUUUGAAUAAAAAUGGAAUAAAUAUCUUCGUGAUUGUGAAUUGACAAUAUACCAUUUUUUUGCACAUUGCUUUAACUUUUAAUUUAGUAGAGCCAUGUUAUAAGAUUUAUGCAAGUUAACAUAAAUAAAUAAUUGGAGUAAUAUCUACAUACUUUUAAGUUUUAGGUUUUUUGAUUUUAUAGUAUAUAUUAUAGUCAAUUUUUUAGAGCUGUGGUUUGUGACAGCAAAAUGGAAGAAUAGGUUAAUAUAUGACAUCAGCCCUACCAAUGGUAGCAGCCAAAGAAAAUGGAGCUGAAAAUAGUGCACAACAAAAAUGGAGAAAUGGGUUCUCUAUCACAUAAACAAACUAAAUCCAUUAACAUUUUUCGAUUGUUCGAAACUAAAGAAUGAAUAUAUCGAUCCACCGAAAAAGAAUUAUGGCAACAAUAUUUAUCGUAAAUAGGCAGAGUUAUUCAACUGCCAAUUACGCUGAUUUUUUUCCGAACCCGUAAACAAACGGUCGGUUUUCCUGUUAUCGUGUUCGCAUGCAAAGCGAACAGUUUCUAGCAGUACUGUAUUAUUUCUGUAAUGGAUUGCUCUAAGAUAAAUCUCGUCACCUACCAAAAUAUACAAUCUCAAUUCGCCAUUGUUGCCAAGUUUAUUCCUCUGUUUGACAUAGGCGCUCUGCAUAUUCGGUAGGGGAAAAAAAUUAGUACCAUGAACUAAAACUAGGAACAAAAUUCAGCCUGCCAAAGUACAUGAAAACAGUCGAAGAAAAAUCUUCAAUGUUCAAAUUAAAGAGCGCCACAAAUUAUAGUAACAUGUAAAGCUAAUCAAUCAAGCACUGAAUAUUAGAUAUUAGAGAUCAAGAAUAGUAAAGAUUAGUGACAGAAAAAAAGAUCGAGUGAAAAAUAAAAAAGAACUGACUUAGAUAUUCGUAAGCAAGAAUCAUAGAAGUUCCCCAUGCAGAUGUGCUGACGAAACGAGGGCCAAGGCCUCUAUAAAGUCCAGUCCAUCCUUCAUCAGCGAUAAGUUUCGUAACCACUUGCCUUGCACUGGGUCGUUUUCCAUGCCCCAUCACCUAAAAAGUACAUAAACCAUUGAUUAAACAAUUGGACUAGGCUCCCGAUUCAGGCUGUUGCUCGUUUUUUUUUCACGUUAUUUCAUGAAAAUAAGUUACCGAUGUUUAAAUAAUUGCAAAGUCAAAUAUUAAGUAGCUAAAUACCUGCAGACGAGUUUUUACGGUAUCCAAUGGGGUUGUGAUGCAUGAUGCUGUAGCACCGGCAAUAAUCCCUCCAGCCGCUUGAACCAGCACAACAUUCCCUUUGUCUGAAGCUGUCCCAUCUCGAUCUAGGAGUCUGUUACAUAUUCAGACAUGAAAAAUAGACAUGGGAACAUGAAAUUUAUCACCUAGCUUGGUCUCAAAUCUCACAUAUAUCACUCAAUCAUAAGUUUAGAUCCUCCAAAAUAUAACUUGAAAGAUGAAAUACUUGAGCUAACUGUUUGCUGCAAACUAUUCGUUGUGAAGAAACACCAGAGAGCAUAAGGCUUAUGGCGGCAUUCAGUAUGGAACUAAAAAGGGUAUCGAUUAUCGAACAAGAUAAAAAUCACACUAAUUGACACCAAACAAAUCUAAUUGACAGAAACUUGAGAAUAAUACAAAAAACUGCCAAAUUGAAAACAACGUUCAAAAGCAUACCUCCAAAUUACGCGUUGACUGGAACCAUAACUCGCCCACCAAACAGCACUCGAAGGUGAAUAUGUCAUAACUGACAGCCCAAAUCCCCUAUACAAUCCUCGAAUACCGUCAGACUUAAUGAUAUUACGAACCACAUCUCUUCCUCCACUAUAAGCCGCAUGCCCAGAAUACCCUUGCACCAUCAACCUUUGACUAACCUUUUUAAAACACACGUUAAAUUAAUUUUAGCCUUUCUGAUAUAUUUCUUAAAGUUCAUCAAGAAAAUAUAAGCCAAAUAAAUAAAUAAAUAAAUCAUCCGACAAGGCACUUCAAUUACCGUGCUAAGAAAGGAACAAUCUAGAAGCUUUUGUUUUACUUUCCAAUAUACGAUUUUUUGGUCAAACCAUUUCAGAAUUAUCGGAACAUUGUAGAGGGCACAACAAAAAAAAAACAAAAAAAUAAAUAAAUUAAAUGAGAUACGAGAAUCGUACCACAUCAAUGGGAACAAAUACAGCUUGUGAGCAAAGAGACCCCAGCAUGCCAGCAACUCCGUUUGCUAUAGCUGCCUGUGAAGGCUCCGAUAAUUUCAAAGGUUCCAACAUCUUGAAAGCAGCAAUUUUCGUUGUCUCUAAUGCAGUGAGGAAUAUAAUUCUUGCAGGUACUGCUCCGAUAAUUACGGUUCCAAAACCUUUAUAUAAUCCAGAAAUCCCAUCUGCUUUUAACAAGCCCUUUACAACAGAAAACGCGUUUCUCUCUACAACAUCGUGUGAAGCUACUUGCAGCCUUGUCUUCACUACUGAAAUUGGAUAGAGCGCCACUGUAAUUCCGGUGAAUAUUCCAGCUCCGACUGAGUAGAACUUCAUUUUAUCAAGCCUGAAGGAGUGUAGAAUAACAUAAGUAUCUACAAAGAUUCUAAUUACCACACAAUAGAACACUCAAAUCUUGUCAAAACAAACUUGUCCACUCGUCAGUAACCGAAAAACAAGAAACUUAUGCCCAUUGAGACCGAAAAGCGAAAAAAAGAAAAAGAAAUUCAGUUCAAAUCAGUCUAUACUAAAUAAAGGGUUCAGUUCGCGGCAAUAUCGUCCAGGGAUGUAGGAUCAUAAUCGAAUCUAAAAACAAUCAAAUGGAAUGUAAAAUGAAAGGUAUCGGAGUUUUUCAGUGUUUUCCCCAAAAGUCGAAUUUGCAAUUCAUCCGAAUAGAUUUCUGAAUAUAGAAAUGGAAGUAUCUAAUGCCACUUAAUUCCAGUGAUUUAUUUCAAACUGCUCGUGCAUAUUUGAUUUUAUCGCAAUAUUAACUUGUAGCCACGGCCACUAAACAUCUGGUUUAAAGGGUUGCGAAUAAGUAAUACCCCCUCUCACCUACAGUUAGAAAUUAAACAGAAUCACGAAUAAGCGAAUUCCUCCGAUUUUUUUCGUGAAAAUGUUUCAGAACUUCCUGCUAAUUUUUUUCCGAACCAAUGCUAAAUGAACCCCCAUCACUACAAUUGUGUUACAAACGAUUCUAAAACACCAAUCCAACAUGAUUAAUCCACCAAAUGCAUAAAACGAGAAGCUAAUCAUUGUGAUUCCUAACACUAAUUAUAUGGUAAUCUAGUUUAAUUUAAUCAACCUAAUCGCCCCAAACACACACGCACACCCAAACAACGAGGGAAAAAAAAUGCAGAAAUCACAACCAAAAAUAAAAUUAAAAAAUCAGAUACGCAGUUAAUGUAACUAUAACACAAUGGAACACCACGCUAAUAAAUUUAAAAAGAGAGAGAGAGAGAGAGAGAGAGAGAGAGAGAGAGAGAGAGAUCGCCGGCGCUUACUUGUCCCAAUUAAUCUCGGUUGGACCAACUGAAAUUCUGCGCCUUCCGUCUGUUGUAUCCAUCGGAAAAAAUCGUUGGCCGUCGCAAACUGGAUAAUGUCGAGCGAGCUGGGUUGAAGAAAGGUUUCCGAAAAUGGCAAACAGCGUCGUGUUCAAAUGAGAGCAGAGCUUUCUUGUGCAGAAAUAAAAACAAAUUAUUAUUAAAAUAUAAAUAAAACCAAUUGCAGUUUUAUUGUUUAUAUUAUUUAUUUAAAAAAAAAAAAAAGUAAAAGUCGGUGAAAGAAACAGUCUGGAUGACGGCGGCGAUCCAGUGCGGCGCGGCUAUGACUGCAUCUGGCUGUUCCCCCGUUGGAUCUUAUUAUUAACAUAAUUUCAUAUAACCAGAUUAAAUUAUCUUUAGGCCCAAAUAGAUGUGAAGAUUUGCAUUCCAGCCCACAGGAACUUUUGGUCAUCUAUUAUUGUUAUUAUUUUUAUUUUUAUGUAUAUGGGCCGAAUAAAUAAGACCCAUGGGCUCAGUUGGGCCUUGUGUAGAAUUUGGCGGGAAUAAGAUCUACGUGUCACUCAAUUGAAUUCAAUUAAUAAGAGUCAAAUAAAAACAAUACAUGUUAAUUCGAAUUGAAUUACCAACCAAAAAAAAAAAAAAACAGGAAAUAAUAAUUAAAGACCGAUUAAAACCACCAGCACAUUAAAUGUAAAAAAAGAUUCUCUCCACCUAAAAUAAAUACUAUGCAAAUAAAUAAAUGCAAGUAAUCCAGUGGUAACUUUAACCGUUGCCCUCCUUUAAUUUAUUAUUAUUAUUAUUAUUAUUAUUAUUAUUAUUAUUAUUAUUAUUAUUAUUAUUAUUAUUAUUAUUAUUAUUAUUAUUAUUAUUAUUAUUAUUAUUAUUAAAAUUGCAUAACUUAUAGAAAAUGUGUAGUUAUCUCUGAUUACAUUACUCAUCUUCAGUGUAGACUGUCCAGUUACACUGCCACUGAUUAUUUACAGUAAGCUCCCUUCUUAACAACAAGCUUUGCCGGCUAGCUUUUUAUUCUCUCUCUCUCUCUCUCUCUCUCUCUCUCUCUCUCUCUCUCUCUCUACACCCUAUAUUUCUCUCUCUCUCUCUCUACACCCUAUAUUUCUCUCUCUCUUAAGAUCAACAAAAUCUGAUUAUUGGAGAAAUGGGACUCUGCUUCAGAUCAAUGCUGCUGCUGUUUUUCUUGUUUUCUUGCGCCACCUUUACUUCAAUAGGUAAACCCUUGCUCCUCUUUUUUUUUUUUUUUUUUUUUUUCUGUUUCCUAUUUAAAUUUUGGCAUUACGCAAUUGUUUGUGUAUUUGGUCGAAUGGGUUCUGAAAAUUUAUGAAGAAUUGAUGCAAUUGUUUGCCUAAUUGAAUGGGUCCGAUUCGAUCGUGAAAAAGUUCGGAUCUUUAUGAAUAGUUGCAUGCUUGGUAAACCCGAAAUUCUUGAUUUUAUUUAUGUUUUGUUGAGAUGAAUGGGGUGUUUUUAAUUUGAUUUCUGCCCUGUUUCGAACAGACAUAUUUUUUUAUUGGGUAGAAAUAGUUCAUCAACUUAGUAAUUAUCACCACCAAAUUUCCUAAAUUGUCCCUCUUCCAAGAGUCUACACUCUAGAGCAUAAAUAAAUUGAGCAACACCACAAGAUUUUUGAUGAUUUAUCUUAAUCCAUUCUUGUUUUUAUCUUCACCAUUUUUUUUUUCAGAAGCCUACGACGCGCUCGAUCCCAACGGAAAUAUCACGAUAAAUUGGGAUAUUAUAACUUGGACAGGCAACGGCUACACCGUAAGUUUUAUUACAAAUUUGUUUACGUUCUUGCAUACGUAGUAGUGGCGACAAGGCACGUAUAAUACACCUUAUAAUGAUAUAAUUAAAGCAUGCAUUUUUGUAGAUAAAUUAACUUACUUUCGAAUAAAAAUAUCCAACAGGCAGUUGUCACAAUAUCCAAUUUCCAAAAAUAUCGCCACAUUCAAGCGCCAGGGUGGACACUCGGGUGGACAUGGGCGAAAUCGGAGGUGAUUUUGACCAUGGCUGGCGGUCAAACAACCGAGCAAGGAGAUUGUUCGAGAUUCCAAGGCUCUAACAUCCCGCAUUGUUGUAAGAAAGAUCCAACGGUUGUGGAUUUAUUACCCGGAACCCCUUACAACCAACAGAUUGCUAAUUGCUGCAGAGGAGGAGUCAUUGACUCCUUUGCCCAAGAUCCUCCGGCUCAUUCCGCCAGCUCAUUCCAGCUCACAGUCGGCGAAGCGGGGACCACUAAUACAACGGUUGACCUUCCGAAGAAUUUCACUCUCAAGGCACCGGGCCCUGGUUAUACUUGCGGGCCCGCGGAAAUAGCCAUGCCCACUAAAUUCAUCUCUCAAGAUGGACGAAGGGCUACGCAAGCUAUGAGUAAGCACAUUUUGCAUUUGCGUAUAGUGAAUUAUUUUUUAUUUUUAUUUUUCUCAAAUUUGUUUAUUUUAUUUUUGCAGUGACGUGGAAAGUUAAGUGUACGUAUUCGCAGUUUCUGGCUCAGAAAAUUCCGAGCUGUUGCGUUUCUAUGUCGGCGUUUUACAGUCACGAGAUUGUGCCUUGCCCGAAAUGCGCUUGUGGAUGCAUGAAUAACCUUACUCAGCCAGGAAGCUGCGUCGAGUGAGUUUUUCUUCUUC
rnacentral:lncRNA from 1 species